UCUCUUAUAACUCAACAUAUUCAAUUAAUACCCAUGUUCUAUUACCCUUUCCACAUCACCUUCUUCAAUAACUGAAACUCCCACAUUCACUACUCAUAUAUACAUAGAUCACCCAUUAACCAUACUAUGUAUCUUCAUUCACAAGUCAAACCACUUUAUAAUCAAUGAAAAUAUAUCACCCAACACUUGACCUGCUCUUGAUAUCUCCAUGUUUUUGCACUUUAAAAUAGCACUUUCCAUAAUUCAUCUACAUUUAGUUACUCAGGUAUAUUUAAAUUCCUAUUUAAUUUAAGUCUAGUUUGUUAGUUUUGUUUAUCUAUAGUACACAAAAAUGACUAGUAAGUGAUGUAAGUUUUUAAUUAGGUAGUUGUGUUGUGUCAAUGCUUGUACUUUGCUUAUUGUAUGUGGUAAUACUGGGGUUGAAGUCUUAGCAACCCCAAUGAAAGUAAAAAUAUAUUUAAGAUGAUCAAGUGGUGGUAAACUCCAUAUAAUGUUUGGUAAUUUUUGUAGAUCUAUAAAAUAAUUUCAACUAAAAUUGUUGCCCACCAAGUGAUUAAUAAUAUGCCAAAAGAAGUUUUGAAAUUUGCUAAGUUUUGAUGGUUUGGUCGACUGACCAUAACAUAUAUGAUAGGACACCAAGCCAACCAUUGUUGAAAAUAUUAGUAUUGGCUAUUUUGGUUAAGGGUUGAUGGUUGACCUUACAAACUAUUAGUCACCAGAUGAACCAUCGAGAGAACCGUUUGGAAUCAUAAGUUUUAUCUAGAAUAUACUUAGCACUAAUGAUUGGGUUGAUUUACCAUCAUGCAAGGGAUAAAUUGUCACCAAACACGUCAUUACUAAAAAAAUCCAAAUGUCAAUUGCUUUUCUUGAGUUCCUAUUUUUUUUUUACUAUUUCUAACUAGUUCCUACUGCAGAUACCAUGCCUAAAGGCUAUAAUAAAUAAUAGGUGGGGCUAGAAUACAAAAAGUAUGGGAGAUUGCUACAUCAAGAAUUCAAGAUGAGCCAAAAGUUGAGACCGGUGAAGCUAAGGCCCUAGCUAAUAAUACCAAUAAAGUGAUAUAAUGCGUAACAUUCCUCCUAGUAUGAAAAGAUAAAUGGUUCUUUAAAUUUUUAUUUGAGUCAUAGAAGGGAGAGUAUCGAUUGUUCUAGCUCUAGACAUAGUGUGGAGAUUUAAAUGGGGGACACGUCUAGCUCAAAUAAAGAAUCUACGAAAGAAGAGGGU
rnacentral:lncRNA from 1 species